rnacentral:lncRNA from 1 species
GCAGGAGCCUGCAAUCCCCAGUACGGUGACUCUGGAUUCCUGGCUGAUACCAAGCACUGUUGCUUUCCUGGAGGAUGACUGAUUCUCUUCUGCAGCAGCUUUUUUCCUGCCUUCCUAAGGAAGUUCUGGUAUAGCAUGUACCUGAUCUUCCCAGAUCUGAAUGGAUGAAAUUCCCACCUCAAGACCAACUUUUAUGCACCCAGCAGGGCCUUUCCAUUCCAAACUCAGAAAAAAAUGUAUCUUCAUGUAAUGCACUUUAUAUAUCGCACCUGCUGUAAGACAGAAUGCACCUCCGAUUGUCUGGCUUGAAUGGGUCGAUUCCUGCCCCAAGCAGUGCUUGCUGACUCAGUGGGCAUGAGAAGUCUCCGCUAUGGAUCGAGAUCUAGCUGGGAUGCUAGACUUAAGGACUUAGGUCAAGAAAUGGCUCUUGAGCAAUAUCAAAUACUUUGAGCACUGAAGCGUCAUGAGGUUCUGGGUUCUCGUGAAGGCCGCAGUUACUACUCCAAAGAACAUCGUUCCCAAGAAACAGCUCAGCCAGCCUAACAGCAGAGCAUUUGGCCUUGUUAGUAGAAACUUAUGGUCUGAACAGCAGCUCUCACUGGUGACUGGGCCUGGA